GAUGAACGCUGGCGGCGUGCUUAACACAUGCAAGUCGAACGGAAAGGCCCUGCUUUUGUGGGUUGCUCGAGUGGCGAACGGGUGAGUAACACGUGAGUAACCUGCCCUUGACUUUGGGAUAACUUCAGGAAACUGGGGCUCAUACCGGAUAGGAGCUCCUGCUGCAUGGUGGGGGUUGGAAAGCUUCGGCGGUUGGGGAUGGACUCGCGGCUUAUCCGCUUGUUUGUGGGGUAGUGGCUUACCAAGGCUUUGACGGGUAGGCGGCCUGAGAGGGUGACCGGCCACAUUGGGACUGAGGUACGGCCCAGACGCCUACGGGCGGCAGCAGGGGGGAGUAUUGCACAAUGGGCGGAAGCCUGAGGCGGCGACGCCGCGUGCGGGAUGACGGCCUUCGGGUUGUAAACCGCUUUCGCCUGUAACGAAGCGUGAGUGACGGUAAUGGGUAAGGAAGCACCGGCUAACUACGUG
rnacentral:rRNA from 1 species